GGGGGGGUGUCGGAUAUUGGGCGUAAGAGCUUGUAGGUGGUUUGUCGCGUCUGCUGUGAAAAUCCGAGGCUCAACCUCGGACUUGCAGUGGGUACGGGCAGACUAGAGUGUGGUAGGGGAGACUGGAAUUCCUGGUGUAGCGGUGGAAUGCGCAGAUAUCAGGAGGAACACCGAUGGCGAAGGCAGGUCUCUGGGCCAUUACUGACACUGAGAAGCGAAAGCAUGGGGAGCGAACAGGAUUAGAUACCCUGGUAGUCCAUGCCGUAAACGUUGGGAACUAGGUGUGGGUCUCAUUCCACGAGAUCCGUGCCGCAGCUAACGCAUUAAGUUCCCCGCCUGGGGAGUACGGCCGCAAGGCUAAAACUCAAAGGAAUUGACGGGGGCCCGCACAAGCGGCGGAGCAUGCGGAUUAAUUCGAUGCAACGCGAAGAACCUUACCAAGGCUUGACAUACGCCGGAAUCACUCAGAGAUGGGUGCGUCUUCGGACUGGUGUACAGGUGGUGCAUGGUUGUCGUCAGCUCGUGUCGUGAGAUGUUGGGUUAAGUCCCGCAACGAGCGCAACCCUCGUUCUAUGUUGCCAGCACGUCAUGGUGGGGACUCAUAGGAGACUGCCGGGGUCAACUCGGAGGAAGGUGGGGAUGACGUCAAAUCAUCAUGCCCCUUAUGUCUUGGGCUUCACGCAUGCUACAAUGGCCGGUACAAAGGGCUGCGAAACCGCGAGGUGGAGCGAAUCCCAAAAAACCGGUCUCAGUUCGGAUUGGGGUCUGCAACUCGACCCCAUGAAGUCGGAGUCGCUAGUAAUCGCAGAUCAGCAACGCUGCGGUGAAUACGUUCCCGGGCCUUGUACACACCGCCCGUCACGUCACGAAAGUUGGCAACACCCGAAGCCAGUGGCCCAACCGUUUACUCGGAGGGAGCUGUCGAAGUGGGGCGAGCGAUUGGGACGAAGUCGUAACAAGGUAACC
rnacentral:rRNA from 1 species